ensembl:lincRNA
CUUUCAAGCAUGGAUCAGGACACAAUCAGAAACAAACCCAAAGAAAGGACUCUGCCAUCCUGGAUGUUGAAGCCCAACAUUGAUCCACAACGGAGCAGGACCAGCAGGACGACUUCGGAUCAGAACAGCCGUGAGCUCAGGUGCAAGAAUCAGAAUUUAAAGCAUUCCAUCAGGAAUGUCAGGACUGUGCACUGCAUGAAUGUGGAGGAGUUGAUUACAGUGGCUCGUGAAGUUCUUGACCAGGUUAACAGUUCUGAAGACGUGAUUACAAAUGAAGAACCAAAGUUUCAAAAUGUGGAUGAAGAGAAAUUUCAGGAUAUUGGGCUUGAGGAGACUAUUUUAUACACAAACUACUGAUGCCAAAAACACAACUUCCAAUGCAACAACGUGGAAUUCCUUCGCCACUGGGAACAAUGUGGCACUGGCUGGAAACUACAUCGAAAGGAACGAACAUUUGUGCAAUAUAACUGGAGGGACAUUCCUUUGUAUUGAGGGGGAAAAUUUUUGACGAUCCUUCAUCGAUUAUGUACGUAUCCCUCGUUGGUCUUGCUGAUUUUCUUGUGCUUGCUGCAUUGUAUGCCCAAGUGACAUUUUAAGCUUUUUAUUUAUUUAUUUAAAGAGCAAUGAUUCUUAUUAAUUAAAAUAUUACAGAAUUGUACACCAAGCCAUUGUGGGGGUAAAUGUUUGAUUCCUUGCCUGACGCAUACAUGCUUUUCAUAUCGAGGAUGAAUCGUUUGUUCACACCGAGAAAAAAAAUAAAAUGAAAUAAUGAAUUGAGCACGUUGUUUGUUCGUACACAAAAUUGCAAUGUGCAGUCAAUUUUAAUAAAUGCCUCCUUUUGUUCUAACUUUCCAUAUAAUAUUACCUACUGUCCUAUGGCAUACUUUUGACUUCCAAGGAUCAUGCAAAAAAGCUCCUGCAAACUGAGUUCGUGCAAUAACAUUUACCAAACUGUCCCCAAUUAUUUCUGAGUGACCGUUAGGUGGUGUAUUGCUCUGAAUUGUUAAUUCUUGUAUGCAUAUGAUUUGACAUGAAGCCUGGUGGUUGGCUUGGCAGCUAGGGUGGCUGGCUUAGGAUCCUAGGGUGCCGAGUUUGAGCCCUGUUGGCUGCUGAAUUAAUACCAGGUGGGGUUGACUCAGCCUGCCAUGCUUCUGAGGUCAGCAAAAUGAGUACCAGUGUACUGGUAGAGGGGCAUAGCAUCAGUGGCACAGCCUCGCUUCCAAUAAAUGAUAGAUAUCUACCCGGCAGCCAAGUUGUCACGCGCAAGAACGGAACCAACGCCCAGAGUACAACCAUCAGUUUUUAACUCAAUCCUUCCAACAGUUCAGAAGUGCACAGAAGCAAAACAAACUCAUAAACAGUAUUCUUUUAUUUUUUUUCUUAUUUUUUUUAGUAAGAUUAGGCAUGCCUACCUACCUGUCGCUUUGUUAACAGGUUUAAAGGUCCCCUGACAUUCAAAAGUACUGAAAUUUAAUAUAUGUAUAUGUAUAUAUAUGUAUAUAUAUAUAUAUAUGUAUAUAUAUAUGUAUGUAUAUAUGUAUGUAUAUAUGUAUGUAUAUAUAUAUAUCCUAUCGGAGUUUUUCAUCGUGAUUUCAGAUCUGACAAUGUUUUUUUCACAAUACUCAUUCUGUAAAAUGUAAAAUUAAAAAAAACAAAGGGGGGGGGGG